UAGGGAAUUUUCGUCAAUGGGCGCAAGCCUGAACGAGCGAUGCCGCGUGAGUGAAGAAGGCCUUCGGGUCGUAAAGCUCUGUUGCGGGGGAAAAAAGGACAGCAUCAGGAAAUGGGUGCUGACUGAUGGU
rnacentral:rRNA from 1 species